UACGUAUGGAGCAAGCGUUAUCCGGAUUUACUGGGCGUAAAGGGAGCGUAGGCGGCCUGCCAAGUCUGAUGUGAAAUACCGGGGCUCAACCCCGGGGCUGCAUUGGAAACUGGCAGGCUGGAGUGCCGGAGAGGCAGGCGGAAUUCCUAGUGUAGCGGUGAAAUGCGUAGAUAUCGAGAGGAACACUCGUGGCGAAGGCGGGUUCCUGGACAUUAACUGACGCUGAGGCACGAAGGCCAGGGGAGCGAAAGGG
rnacentral:rRNA from 1 species